GCAUUAACUCCAAUGGCACACAGCACAGCAGGAAACUGACCACACCAUCAAGGCCCGCACCAGUGCCAUGGAGCAGAUGUCGGAGCUGCUGCGGGGCUGCUCCGGGAAAAUUGUGGAAAAGGCCUGAGCUCUUCUUCCCACGGCGAGAGGGAUGGCAGACAGCAGAUUCCCCGGGACCCUUCUGCUGAGCUGGCUGACGACAAGAUCUUCAGUGGGGGUGGCAGCACAUGGCAGGGCCAGGAGCAGGCGCUACUUUCACCAAGGAGGACCUGGAGGCCAAGCUGCAGAUCGAGCAGGUCUCAAACUCUGAGGGCCCCCUCCCUGGGUCAGCCUGGUGAGGCACCCCGCCCUCCUCAGACCCUGUGCUGACACCCCACCCUGUGUGGGAAGACAGGCUCCCUCCUGCGGAGACGACCAGAGCAGGAUCAAGUGCAGAGACGGUUCCACCUUUUGCUUGGCUCACUCCAGAGACACAAGUACUACUUCCUGUUGGCUGGAGUCACCAUUCUGCUGGUCAUCAUCCUCAUCAUCACCACUCUAUCUGAAAGCGAUGCCACCUGUGCAUAUUUCACAGACCUAGAACAAACCUUUUGAAA